UGAACACAGCAUUUGGCACAGAGGGUACAAAUGUUGCCUUCCACUCGCUGCCCGUGGUUUUGGCUGGAGAGGGUUGUUGACUGAAGUGUGCUAACACCUCCCCAGUGCUCCUGCAGGUCUGCCUUGUCUGGAAUGCGAUGUUAUCCUAAACUCACCGCAAAGCGUGAGUGUGAACAUCCUAAACAUUCAUUUGUUCUGCAGCAUGGAAAAUGACAGUGAUCUUAAGAUGAAAGGAAUGCUGUGAGCCUAAACGAUGUGGAGUAAUAAGGAAAAGAUGGAGAUUCCUAUUCUGAUCUUCGAUCGUGUAGAGCCCCGUAAACAAUGCUGUAAAACUGGGGCAAUGCUUUCUGUGACUGAGCUGAAGAACAUGAAGCACUGUGGCAGGAGCGAAACAGAUACUACAGGGUAAAACUGCAUCAAGUUUUUUGGCAAAAGGAAAUGAACAACCAGCUACAAAAUAGUAUGGUUGGAGAAAGACACGGAAGGUGCUCAGUGCUGGAGUAGAGGCACUGGAGAACGUGGAGCAGCUGGAGUUUGAAGUAUGCUGCGAGUUUCUCUGUGCAACUUAGAUGGAGCAGAUCUGCUCUUGAAUUAAGAGAUUAGGAAAUGUACUGUACAGCUGCCACUGUGCUAGCUGGACCAGCUGGCUGUGGUCUUUAUUUAAAGGCUUGCUUGAGCGUGGGAAGAGCAGUGCAGACUCGGGCUGGAGCUUCCUUUGCCCUCUGCUGGCCGAGGCCAAGCACAGAGCAGAUGCUGUUGUGUCAGCGCCAGCACCGUCUAGAGCCCGCAGCGGUCCAGCAAGUCCGUAGGUGUGGGGAGACGAGGCUAUUUGCAAAGCCGAGACUAGUGAAAGUGUAAUGGAGAAGUUAAUGCCAAAAUAAAAUCAUAUCAUAGUCAAGGGCUUCAUCUGGAUACAGCAUUCUCUGUUCAAAUUGAGUUUUUGCACCGUGAUCUGGCUGUAAGUUUUGUUCAGAGAUGAUUUUACGAACGUUUUUGAGGUGUUUGUCAGAGUAGGAGAGGGAAAGGCAGCACAGGCUGAGAGACAGAGUGCUUCCCAGUGGCACUGGGACGUGCUUUAAUGGUGUGAAAUACUGCAGGUUGGGUUUGCCUCUUGAAUUUUGAUUCAGCUAAACAUAAAUUCUCUUUUAACUGACUGUCCUUUGUCUCAGGAGUGUAGUAUAGUGGUUUUUUGACAGUCUUCAGAGGAACAUUUUUCAGUAAGGUCUAAUAUAACCUAGCCGCAUUUCCUAAAAUACUGCAGUCUCUCUCUUCCUUGCUCAUUAAACUACAGGUGACUUCUGGGCUGUUCGCAUUUAGGCAGUGAAUUUAAGACAGAUCUUAUAUUAAGCUGUGCAUACGACACGGAUUGUCCUCCUGGCAUGCACUAGGACUGCAGCAAGCUAGAUCAUUUCUCCUGGGCGAUAUUUACAGGGAGGGAUGCUCCAGAUCAAUAUAAAUUUUUGCUAGUCAUUGCUCUCAGAGCAGUUUUGU